UAUAAUGGCCUAAUGUCUCCAAACGAACAGCAUCAAUUAAUGGCUUCUUAUACAGCUUCUGGUACUCUUCCUUUAUUUGCUGCAUAUCAACCUCAGCCCUUGUAACAACUACCCUGAUUAGCGUAGUGUCUUUCGUUCCCAAACCCUUCAUCGCCUUGCGCAAAACCGUAGCAAAGUAUUUGGCAGGAUUAUGAGCACAUUGCAAAAUUGUUAACAAGGCAUGCUUGAAAUGCCCUGAUGCUUCCCUUUUCAUCGCCUUUCUGAGUUCUCUUCCAUACAUUUUAUGAUAAGCAGAAUCAAGAGCAACCAAAUGUGCUUUGCUUCUUUCACUGAAAAUCUGAAUCAA
rnacentral:misc_RNA from 1 species